rnacentral:rRNA from 1 species
UGCAGUCGAACGGUAACAGGAAGCAGCUUGCUGCUUCGCUGACGAGUGGCGGACGGGUGAGUAAUGUCUGGGAAACUGCCCGAUGGAGGGGGAUAACUACUGGAAACGGUAGCUAAUACCGCAUAACGUCGCAAGACCAAAGAGGGGGACCUUCGGGCCUCUUGCCAUCGGAUGUGCCCAGAUGGGAUUAGCUAGUAGGUGGGGUAACGGCUCACCUAGGCGACGAUCCCUAGCUGGUCUGAGAGGAUGACCAGCCACACUGGAACUGAGACACGGUCCAGACUCCUACGGGAGGCAGCAGUGGGGAAUAUUGCACAAUGGGCGCAAGCCUGAUGCAGCCAUGCCGCGUGUAUG